CUGGCUCAGGAUGAACGCUGGCGGCGUGCCUAAUACAUGCAAGUCGAACGAGAUAGAUGAGAGCUUGCUCUUGAAGUCUAGUGGCGAACGGGUGAGUAACACGUAGGUAACCUGCCUUCAGUUGGGAUACCCAGGGGAAACUUUGGCUAAUACCAAAUUAUUACAUUCAAGGCAUCUUGAGUGUCUAAAAGGGGCCUUUAAAGCCUCGCUGAUCGAUGGACCUGCGGCGCAUUAGUUAGUUGGUGAGAUAACAGCCCACCAAGACGAGGAUGCGUAGCCGACCUGAGAGGGUGAACGGCCACACUGGAACUGAGACACGGUCCAGACUCCUACGGGAGGCAGCAGUAGGGAGUUUUCGGCAAUGGGGGAAACCCUGACCGAGCAACGCCGCGUGAACGAUGAAGGUCCUUCGGAUUGUAAAGUUCUGUUGUGAGGGAAAAAUGAUACCAUGAGGAAAUGCUUGGUGUUUGAUGGUACCUCAUUAGAAAGCCACGGCUAACUACGUGCCAGCCGCAGC
rnacentral:rRNA from 1 species